GACGAACGCUCGUAGGCGGGCUUAACACAUGCAAGUCGAACGGAAAGGCCCUGCUUUUGUGGGGUGCUCGAGUGGCGAACGGGUGAGUAACACGUGAGUAACCUGCCCUUGACUUUGGGAUAACUUCAGGAAACUGGGGCUAAUACCGGAUAGGAGCUCCUGCUGCAUGGUGGGGGUUGGAAAGUUUCGGCGGUUGGGGAUGGACUCGCGGCUUAUCAGCUUGUUGGUGGGGUAGUGGCUUACCAAGGCUUUGACGGGUAGCCGGCCUGAGAGGGUGACCGGCCACAUUGGGACUGAGAUACGGCCCAGACUCCUACGGGAGGCAGCAGUGGGGAAUAUUGCACAAUGGGCGGAAGCCUGAUGCAGCAACGCCGCGUGCGGGAUGACGGCCUUCGGGUUGUAAACCGCUUUCGCCUGUGACGAAGCGUGAGUGACGGUAAUGGGUAAAGAAGCACCGGCUAACUACGUGCCAGCAGCCGCGGUGAUACGUAGGGUGCGAGCGUUGUCCGGAUUUAUUGGGCGUAAAGGGCUCGUAGGUGGUUGAUCGCGUCGGAAGUGUAAUCUUGGGGCUUAACCCUGAGCGUGCUUUCGAUACGGGUUGACUUGAGGAAGGUAGGGGAGAAUGGAAUUCCUGGUGGAGCGGUGGAAUGCGCAGAUAUCAGGAGGAACACCAGUGGCGAAGGCGGUUCUCUGGGCCUUUCCUGACGCUGAGGAGCGAAAGCGUGGGGAGCGAACAGGCUUAGAUACCCUGGUAGUCCACGCUGUAAACGGUGGGUACUAGGUGUGGGGUCCAUUCCACGGGUUCCGUGCCGUAGCUAACGCUUUAAGUACCCCGCCUGGGGAGUACGGCCGCAAGGCUAAAACUCAAAGGAAUUGACGGGGCCCCGCACAAGCGGCGGAGCAUGCGGAUUAAUUCGAUGCAACGCGUAGAACCUUACCUGGGUUUGACAUGGAUCGGGAGUGCUCAGAGAUGGGUGUGCCUCUUUUGGGGUCGGUUCACAGGUGGUGCAUGGCUGUCGUCAGCUCGUGUCGUGAGAUGUUGGGUUAAGUCCCGCAACGAGCGCAACCCUUGUUCACUGUUGCCAGCACGUUAUGGUGGGGACUCAGUGGAGACCGCCGGGGUCAACUCGGAGGAAGGUGGGGAUGACGUCAAGUCAUCAUGCCCCUUAUGUCCAGGGCUUCACGCAUGCUACAAUGGCUGGUACAGAGAGUGGCGAGCCUGUGAGGGUGAGCGAAUCUCGGAAAGCCGGUCUCAGUUCGGAUUGGGGUCUGCAACUCGACCUCAUGAAGUCGGAGUCGCUAGUAAUCGCAGAUCAGCAACGCUGCGGUGAAUACGUUCCCGGGGCU
rnacentral:rRNA from 1 species